rnacentral:lncRNA from 7 species
AAAGACAUAGUAAGCCAACAACCCUAGUCUCCUCUCCUGCAGUCCUGGCGCUUUGCAUGCUGCCAUCAGGGACUGGGAGACUGAGGCAAGCAGAGAGAGAGUCACAUCCUGAUGAGAGGGAGCAGAUCCUCUGCCCGCAGCCUGAUGCUGGGACCACCCCAGUUACUUUGCAAGGGCUGUGCAGAGUGGAUUUCCAGCACCCACUGAGCAUCCGGCUGGGAGGCUUAACAGAUGUGGCAGAACUGAAGCAUGGAAAGUCUGUCUAUGGGAGAAAAGUAUCAACUAUCUUGAGACAUGAGAUGCCAACAGCUAUGAACCUCACUCAUCAUCUGAUACCUGCCUUGGGAAAAGCACGUGAAAGCAGAUUGAAGUUGUUAAGCAUUGGAAUUUUGUGUUGUUUUGUUUCUUUGUGAUUCAGGAGAAAAAUAUUUGUCAUCACACAGUUCACAGUCACUGGACAAUGUUCUUGUUUAAUGUCACUGUCAGCUUGGUCAUGGGAGAUCGCUCCCAUUAUAGACUGAGACGACCGAAAAGCCUUUUAACAUUAUUUGAUUCAUCUCUCCCAAAGGUUGAGUGAGUUUUUUUUAACUAUACUGUGUAUGAAUAAAUACCAGUAGGUAGGAAUAUAUUCAGAGAGCAAUAGAAGGAAGAGUAAGAAAAACAACUGCUGGAGAAAACAAAUGAAUAGAAAGAAAAGUGGAUGAUGCCCACUUGGAAUAGGCAAUUUUGGAUCUACAGUGAUUUAGAGUUUAAAAUCCAUACAAUGUCAGCGUAACUUGAGAUUGGAUAAACUUCUAAUUGAUGUUAAGGACCUGUUUGUGAACUUCAAGAAGAAGUACUAUGAAUAACAGCGGGAGCAACUUCUGAUAUGCAAAAGUGAUCUUUUGUAUAUUAAUAAAUUAUGUUCAUUAG